rnacentral:rRNA from 1 species
UGUCAGACUUGAGAGUGGUAGAGAGAGGUAGAAUUCCGGGUGUAGUAGUGAAAUGCGUAGAUAUCCGGAGGAACACCAGUGGCGAAAGCGGCCUCCUGGCCCAUUUCUGACGCUCAGACACGAAAGCUAAGGUAGCAAACGGGAUUAGAGACCCCGGUAGUCUUAGCUGUAAACGAUGUGAACUUAGUGUCGGCGGGUUCAAAUCCGUCGGUACUGAAGCAAACGCGAUAAGUUCACCGCCUGGGGACUACGGCCGCAAGGUUAAAACUCAAAGGAAUUGACGGGGCCCCGCACAAGCAGCGGAGCGUGUGGUUUAAUUCGAUGCUACACGAAGAACCUUACCAGGGUUUGACAUGCUAGUGGUAGGAAACCGAAAGGUGACCGACCCUUCGGGGAGCUAGCACAGGUGCUGCAUGGCUGUCGUCAGCUCGUGUCGUGAGAUGUUCGGUUAAGUCCGCUAACGAGCGCAACCCUCGCUGUGUGUUACAAGUGUCACGCAGAACUGCCGGUCUUAAGCCGGAGGAAGGUGGGGAUGACGUCAAGUCAGCAUGGCCUUUAUGUCCUGGGCUACACACACGCUACAAUGGUCAGCACAAUAGGUUGCUAAGCCGCAAGGUGGAGCCAAUCCUCAAAGUUGGCCUCAGUUCAGAUUGUAGGCUGCAACUCGCCUGCAUGAAGAUGGAGUUGCUAGUAAACGCAGGUCAGCUAUACUGCGUUGAAUACGUUCCUGGGGCUUGUACACACCGCCCGU